rnacentral:tRNA from 1 species
GCGCGCUUAACUCAGCGGUAGAGUAUCACCUUCACACGGUGGGAGUCGUAGGUUCAAAUCCUACAGCGCGCA